UACAGAGGUCUCAAGCGUUGUUCGGAUUCAUUGGGCGUAAAGGGUGCGUAGGCGGCGCGGUAAGUCGGGUGUGAAAUCUCCCGGCUUAACUGGGAGGGUGCAUUAGAAACUGGAAUGCUAGAGGAUGGGAGAGGUAAGCGGAAUUCCUGGUGUAGCGGUGAAAUGCGUAGAUAUCAGGAGGAACACCUGUGGUGUAGACAGCUUACUGGACCAUUUCUGACGCUGAGACACGAAAGCGUGGGUAGCAAACAGG
rnacentral:rRNA from 1 species